rnacentral:rRNA from 1 species
GACGAACGCUGGCGGCGUGCUUAACACAUGCAAGUCGAACGGAAAGGCCCUGCUUUUGUGGGGUGCUCGAGUGGCGAACGGGUGAGUAACACGUGAGUAACCUGCCCUUGACUUUGGGAUAACUUCAGGAAACUGGGGCUAAUACCGGAUAGGAGCUCCUGCUGCAUGGUGGGGGUUGGAAAGUUUCGGCGGUUGGGGAUGGACUCGCGGCUUAUCAGCUUGUUGGUGGGGUAGUGGCUUACCAAGGCUUUGACGGGUAGCCGGCCUGAGAGGGUGACCGGGUUCAUUGGGACUGAAAGGCGGACCAGACUACAACGGGCGGAAGCAGUGGGGAAUACUGCGCAAUGGGCGGAAGCCGGAUGCAGCAACGCCGCGUGAGGGAUGACGGCCUUCGGGUUGUAAGCAGCUUUCGCCUGUGACAAAGCGUGAGUGACGGUAAUGGGUAAAGAAGGCCCGGCUAAAUACGUG